AUAGGCCUAACACAUGCAAGUCGAACGGCAGCACAGGAGAGCUUGCUCUCUGGGUGGCGAGUGGCGGACGGGUGAGGAAUACAUCGGAAUCUACUCUGUCGUGGGGGAUAACGUAGGGAAACUUACGCUAAUACCGCAUACGACCUACGGGUGAAAGCAGGGGAUCUUCGGACCUUGCGCGAUUGAAUGAGCCGAUGUCGGAUUAGCUAGUUGGCGGGGUAAAGGCCCACCAAGGCGACGAUCCGUAGCUGGUCUGAGAGGAUGAUCAGCCACACUGGAACUGAGACACGGUCCAGACUCCUACGGGAGGCAGCAGUGGGGAAUAUUGGACAAUGGGCGCAAGCCUGAUCCAGCCAUACCGCGUGGGUGAAGAAGGCCUUCGGGUUGUAAAGCCCUUUUGUUGGGAAAGAAAUCCAGCUGGCUAAUACCUGGUUGGGAUGACGGUACCCAAAGAAUAAGCACCGGCUAACUUCGUGCCAGCAGCCGCGGUAAUACGAAGGGUGCAAGCGUUACUCGCGAAUUACUUGGGCGUAAAGCGUGCGUAGGGUGGUCGUUUUAAAGUCCCGGUUGUUGAAAGCCCUUGGGGCUCAAACCUGGGAACUUGCAGUGGGAUCCUGGGC
rnacentral:rRNA from 1 species